GGGUCUCAGCGUGCUCCCCGCAGCGCGAAGCCUGCUCUUGGUGUCGCCGAUGCAGCUGCUGCUGGCAAUUGAUGAUCGUUCUUCUCCCUUGGGGGAGCAAGAGGGAGACAACGCAGUCUGA
rnacentral:snoRNA from 2 species